AGCAUCUUGAAAUUUCCUAAUCUUAAUCUUAGUAUUUUUUAUUUUAAUGAAAACAUAUGAAAUAGCAGAAAAUCACAUAUAUUUUAUCCUAAGCAUACAGCAGAUUCAGCAGACUUCACAGUUCAUUGGACACCUUUAAGGACCUUGGGGCAAUUGUCUAAGUAGUCACCAAGCAGAUACACUGCUUUGAUAUUGUAACUGAAACCUCAUCUUUGAGCAGGAUAAAUUUCUUCAAAAUAUAUUAUGGCAAACACCAGUCCCUCUACAAACAUGGUGCUGUAGCCAAGGCAGCCAAGACCAGCUCCUCACUGAAAACACACUACAAAUAAAUGUAGGCAGAGAAAAUGAGACCCUCAGGUAUUCGUCCUAGAAAACACGCACAUCAGAUCCGGUAUAUCGGGACCUCGCUGGCCUCACCAACUGUCUUGGGUAGCUCCAUUCUUGCACGGCAGAUGAUCCCUUCCUCUUGUGGAGGAAUGUUUGGAGUGAUGGCAUUUGUCCUCCCAACUCACUGUUAGUGUGGUCCUGCUUUCCUGGAGUAACCUGAGCACCUGCCUG
rnacentral:lncRNA from 1 species